GAGAGAGAGAGAGAGAUUCAAGCGACUCAACAAUCAUUCUGGAUCAGUCCACAGAAGGAAGUGGCAGCCCAGGCUCGGCCAGUAAAGAAAUUGGGUUAGAAGGAAAAAGAGGACCCCAAAGCCUACUUGAAGAAGCACCCUCUGCCCUGUCCAGUCCUAAUACUAACAAGCCUGCAGAUGUUGACUGUCCAGACACCUACAGUCCAGCAACCUUGGCCAAGCACUACAAGACCCUACAAACUUUGUAUAAAAGAAAAAAUCCAAACCACCAGGAUGUCUCUCAUCUCUUUGAUUUGGAAUUUGC